rnacentral:lncRNA from 1 species
GGAACAGAUGCAGCUUGAGAGUAAUAGAGAGGUUCAGAUUCCAGAGAAGAAGAAGAAGAUCCAGAAAAGGCAGGAAGUUGACAGACAUAGUACUUAAGAUAAGAGGGAGGAUUAUGAUGUCUUCCAGAUUUUCUGGGAGCAGGAAGAGAUGUGAAAGGAGGCAAAGCAAGAGAAGAAAUAUCAGGAUUGAAGGGAUGAAGGGAGGCUGGAUUAGAAGAAGGGGAAGUUGGGGCAGAAGGAGGAGGAGGAGAGGAACAGACAGGUAUAAACAAGUCUGCAUCAGAGGACGAAUGUUCAAGAGGAGGAACAAAAGGAAAGGAAGAGGGAGUAAGAAGAGCAGAAGAUGAUACAGUUUUUAAAGGAAAGUAGGUUUCAUGAAAUAUAACAUCCCUGGAGAAAAAGUAUUUCUUGGAAGUGAGAUCAUAAAGUUUAUAACCUUUUUGGCAAAAGGAUACCCAAUGAAUACACAGGAAAUGGCUCUAGGUUUCAACUUGUCCCUUUAAGGAAUUGGAACAGUAGCAUAGGCAAGGCACCCAAAUGCUCUCAAAUGAGAGUAGGUUGGUGCCUUUCCAUGCAAAACUUCAUAGGGAGAUUUAUGAUGAAGAAGUCUGGAUGGUAUUCUGUUAAGGAGAUAGGUGGCAGUUAGUAAGCAGUCCCCCCCAGAAAGAGAUAGGUCUUUGAACCACAGCAUUAAACUGGGUUUUAACCAUACACAGAAAUGAUUUAAGCAGGUAGAAAGCAUUGCUUUUAGACCCCAGUAAGUGUGUCCAGGUGGCCCUAGAGAAAUCAUCAACUAGCAGAAGGCAUUGCUUUUAGACCCUAGUAAGUGUGUCCAGGUAGCCCUAGAGAAAUCCUCAACUAUUGUAAGAAAAUAUUUAGAACCAGAAGAAGUAGGAGUGUGAUAGGGGACCCAAGUAUCCACAUGAAUCAAUUGGAAAGGUCUAGAAGUACUUAUUGUGCUAUCAGGAAAGGGAAGUCUAGUCUGUUUAGCCAUAGGACAGAUAGAACAAGGGAAAGGCUGCUUAGAAGCAAAUGAAAAAGACAAUCCAGAAAUUUGUUUCAUGUUUGCAAAUAAAGUAUGAGCAAGUCUCAAACGCCAAAUGUAAUUCAUGUCAGUUGUAAGAACAUUAUUACAGAUGGAAUUAUUUACAUUGGAAGGUAAAGCAACAACUUUAUGGCAAUCAGUAGAGGAAGAAUUGUCAUGAUUACAAGAGUCAAACAUAGAGCAUACAAAAGUAGAUGAACAACCAGUAGAGGAAGAAGGGGAAGCUGGAACCCAAGCAAGCUUGUAUAGACCAGCCUCCUUUUUACCAAGAUCCAGAGGCUUCCUCAGAGAAGGGUCCUGUAUCAUGUGGAGGUAGCAGGAAGUUGCAGUGAACAAAUCUAUGCAAUGCAACUGUUUCACUAACUUGUGGACAGAAAUCAAGUUGU